GACGAACGCUGGCGGCGUGCUUAACACAUGCAAGUCGAACGGUGAAGCGCCUUCCUUUUUGGUGGGUGUGGAUGAGUGGCGAACGGGUGAGUAACACGUGAGUAACCUGCCCCCUUCUUCUGGAUAACCGCAUGAAAGUGUGGCUAAUACGGGAUAUUCUGGGUCUGUCGCAUGAUGGGUCUGGGAAAGAUAUUGUUUCGGUGGGGGAUGGGCUCGCGGCCUAUCAGCUUGUUGGUGGGGUGAUGGCCUACCAAGGCGGUGACGGGUAGCCGGCCUGAGAGGGGGGAGGGCAACAGUGGGACUGAGACCCGGCCCGGGCCACACGGGGGGGCAGCAGGGGGGAAUAUUGCACAAUGGGCGCAAGCCUGAUGCAGCGACGCCGCGUGAGGGGUGGAGGCCUUCGGGUUGUGAACCUCUUUGGCCGGUGAAGCAGGCCUGCCUCGUUUGUGGGUGGGUUGACGGUAGCUGGAUAAGGAGCGCCGGCUAACUACGU
rnacentral:rRNA from 1 species